rnacentral:lncRNA from 1 species
UUUCUCCCUCCAUCAAGAUGCUUCGCCAUGUGGACAUUGUACUCCGCUAGGUUAAGCAACUCGCGUUGGAUAAGCCCGAUAGUUAUAUCCUUGUUGAGCUUCCGCUCCUCCUCUGAAUAAAUCACCUAUGCAUGAAGUUCCAAGGAAGUUACAUAAGAAUAACUAGAAAUCCCAGAAGAAAAAAAACAAAUCUCGUAUCCAUAACUAAUUGAGGAUGGUUCUUGUCAUAUUUUAUCAGGAACUCCAGCUACGGGAAAUAGGCUGAAUCUAGUCCUUUUUGUCACGAGUCAAUCUAAUAGUUAUUGAUGUGUCAUGUCACGAAAUAGAGGCUUAGAAGAAAAGACAAGCUAGUGAUUGUUGUCGGCCCAACCGGAGACCAUUCCCUCGUCAACUACUGGCUUGAGACUACCACAGGAUCUAGCGACCGAUUCAAAGAGCUUUUCAAUCUCAGGAGCACACCUGAUGAAGGCAUGUUGCCAGAAGCCAUAUCUUGGAUUCUUGAUGAGCUCGAUGAACGUUAUUAGGAGUCCCCAAGGAUGCGGCCGGUUCACAAUUAGCCUUUCCAACAACACUCUUGUUAUCUGCUCCUGUAUAAUGAUCUCCUGUUUCCAUUCACACACACACGCAAAGAAUUAGAUUCUCAUAUCUACAGAAUAGACUCCUGAGAGGUAUAACGAUCCUCACCUGGUUAGACUCGAAGAAGAGAUAGAGCAUGAUGAAGGAGAAAUAAUGAGUGUGGUUGUUGGGAUAUCGAAGCUGAUUGGCGAUCGCGUUGAGGAACAAGUAGCGCCCUUCUGUAUCUAGUUCCAUACUUAAAUACUUGAACAUGUGCAAGGCCACCACAUUUUGAGCCUGCGUCUCACCCGCUUGUAGCUGCUGAAUAGCCUGUCAUCCGCCGUAUUGUGUCAGGUAAGAUAUACAUUUAUUCCUUUUAGCUGACAGGAUCCAUUUAGUAAACUAAGGCUUUACAAUUAACACAUAGCCCAGUAUUUCACACUAAUUCGUACCUGCAUUCCAGUAUAUAGCACAAGCGAGUUGAUCAAUGGUACAUUGUAACGGGUUCCAGCUGAGCUGGCCUCGUUGGACGAGAGAAGCAGCUUCUGCUUCAACUCACUUAGGAAAGUUGAAUUCUGUUGCCUCAACUGCAAGAAAAAAGAAAAUAUAUACGUGUGUGAGUUUCCUGAUAUAAUUUGAAGAACCUUCAAAAGGAGUGAAGAAUCAGAUGAUCUAUUACAGUGAGAUACUCGUCCACGUCAUUCUUCAUUUGCUUCGCUUUAAGCACAGCAUCAACCUCGGAAAGGAUACAUGGAGCUUCUACUAUCUCAGGCAGUAAAUCAAUCUGCAGUUCACAAGAUUUAAUCAGCUUACCAGGGAUAUAUAUAUCUUUUAUUUAGAAUUUGAACAGGCUGCACUAUCCACAAUCAUCUCAGAACCUUCAAAUUUGGGGUAGAGGGAUCUGGAAGCCUCAUGUUCCGUGGAAAAGAACUGAGAAUAAUAUUUCGCAUUUGUAUGCAACUUGAAGGAAUCACAUCACAGAAAGUAAAAUGAUAAUCACAGAGGAACUCCGGGAAGUCAUGAAGCAGCACCAACAACACUCUCAAUGUCCCUUUGUAUAGGAAAUUAACCUGCAUAAUUGAUAAAACAAAUAAGAGAGAGACACCACUUUAAAGUUACCAUCAAUUAUACCCCUAGAAUUCAGUGCAAAAAUUACACGAGGGAAGAAGGUACAUACUGGUCCUCCGAGUUCAGCAUUUCUCAAAAAUGGCUCAAGAAACUGGAGCAAGUCUACCAGCAGGCGUUGCACAUAUGGCCAACCCUUCUGGCCAUUUACUGUAAGCAUCUUAGGCAUGAAGCUUCUGUGGCUGACCAGCUCUAGCCAUGCAAAGCUGAAAAUUUUGUGGGGCAAAAACACAAUUGUUCAAUAAAAAAAGAAGAAGAUAUAUAUGUCAACCACAUGAAUCAUUCUGAGGACAUAGGUAUUCGACUUCUUCCAUAGUUCCUGACAAAUUCUAGUUUGAUUAAAAGCAUUACGAGAAACAGCUUUCAGUCCUAACCUGAAAGCGGGAACCUUAAGAGGCUGCAACGCGUGGAAUGCAUUGGCAAAAGCUGUUAGAACCUGAAACAAACUGGAUGUUAGUUAUAUCGAUAAAUAGCAACCACUUCAAAGAAAACAAAAAGCACCUGAAAGUUUGCUCCAUCAGUCCCAGGAUCCAGGGAACAUAAGUCCAGCAGCCAGUUAAUGAACAAUCUAAAAUAUGGUCUUGGAUUGAGUGACGUCUUUUUAUCUUCUGCGUCCUUCUGAAUAGAUCUCACAGUUACAGCCAUGAUCUACAGCCAGUAAUCAUUAUCAGACCCACUCACCUUUUUCCACCAAUAAAAUAAAAGUUUUCAAUUAUUUUCAAUAAACUAAAACUAACCUCCGAAAGAAGAAAUAACUUGAUGCUAGACUCCUGUUCAGGGAAAUACUGAAAAGAUUGUCAUAAGAAACAAAAAUAGGCUUAGCAGGCAAUGUAUUUUGGGCUUAAUUAUCCGCUCCUAGCCUUAAAAAUUCAUGAGAAUUUACCUUCAAUACUGAAAAAACCAGCUUUGCAUAAAUAUCGAUAAUAAGGAAUGAUGGACUCUGAGCUUGCUGAGGAGAUUGCCCAGCUCCAGAACUGAUUUCUUCAGAAGAUAUACAAUGAGCGACAGAGAGUUCCUAAACAUAACACCCAAGUUCAAUCAUAAGGCCUCUAAAGAUUUUGGAAGUGUGGAUGCUAUGAAAACUUAAAAAGUCAAUCACCAGAAGAAUUCUGAAAAAACUCUCUGUUGUAUCAUCUCCCUUAAGUAGUCCAGUCUGAUGCAAAUGCAAGACAUAUUGUGAACAAGCGGUAUCAUUGGCACCGGAAACUUCGCAAAUUUGAUACCAAUUUUUAAAAAGCGUGGACACCUGCGAAGCAUACAGACCAUUAAAAAAAAGAUAAACAACACGUACGGGAGAUGUAUAUACCAACAUAGAACUGAAGAGGUAACAGGGUAUGUAAACGCAUAUAUGUGUGUUUAACAUGAAUAUUUAAUAAUAACAGCUACACAAACGUUUCUACUGAAAUCGUUCUGUAGCUUGAAACCCAAUUAAACAACUAAAAAAGACUAAAACUCGUCAUCCGUAUUGGAGUAAUGAAAUCUAGUCACAAGCAGAAAAAUUACCCGAUUCCGGAAACCCGCAGGAUCUGCUACCACAUAUUCCCAGCUGGUAUUCUCUUCUGUGUUAGCAGUUGUAUUGCACACAACCUGAGAACAAAGCUAACAUGUCAAAAGAAUUAACAGCCUGAUCACAAGCAACAUUCGGUAAUGAAAAUAUCUGAACCUUUUCAUCCUUCGAUUGUCUAUCAUUGUUCUCGUUUCCGGAUGCACUAUCAGAGAGACCACUUGUAUUAGUAACUGGAUUUCGUAUGAUGUCAAUUAGUUGUUGCAAUGACUCAGGAGAUCCGGAUUUUGAGGAAAGCUACAACCGAACAAGGAAAAAGUUAACGUCACCAAAUGAAAAUGUCAAAUAUAUGAUAACAGCAUAAAACAAUAUCUGAACCUAACCACGAUAUCUGUCAGUUGGCGUUUUAUAAAGAAGUAUUACAAGGCAGAGAAAUAAAAACAAUAUCUAAUCCUAAUCCCUAGUUGUAUGUUUUUCGCACCUGAUAAUGGUGAUAUAUCAGAAGAGGUCUUAGUAAUACCAGAACAAGCUAAGGCAAGAUUGCAAUAACAAAGGCCAAAGAAAGUUAUAAUUGCUACCUUUGCCAGUGCAUCAACAAGAGUGUGUAGCUCUGAAAUGACACUCGACUCCUCAGUGACCAAGGAUUGGAGCAGAGAAAUAGAGAAGUCAGUGGCGCUCUCUGCAAAGCAAACAAGUAGUUAGCCACGUUCAUUCACAAUAAAAGAAAACUAUACAAAUAUAUGAUGUUCGGCAUACUGUUUCUCCCUCCAUCAAGAUGCUUCGCCAUGUGGACAUUGUACUCCGCUAGGUUAAGCAACUCGCGUUGGAUAAGCCCGAUAGUUAUAUCCUUGUUGAGCUUCCGCUCCUCCUCUGAAUAAAUCACCUAUGCAUGAAGUUCCAAGGAAGUUACAUAAGAAUAACUAGAAAUCCCAGAAGAAAAAAAACAAAUCUCGUAUCCAUAACUAAUUGAGGAUGGUUCUUGUCAUAUUUUAUCAGGAACUCCAGCUACGGGAAAUAGGCUGAAUCUAGUCCUUUUUGUCACGAGUCAAUCUAAUAGUUAUUGAUGUGUCAUGUCACGAAAUAGAGGCUUAUUUAAGAGAAAUAUCAGAAGCAACUGAACUAAAGCACGUCCGAGAGUGUGAACUACAGAAACAAUAUGAAUACUUAAAUUUUGAAAAGGUCGUUGACAUACCCAACUAGUUAGCUCUUUAACCACACGCUUGCAAACAUCACGAAUAGCCACAAGAAUUGCUAGGUUAGCACUGACGUGAAGACUACUUGAUGCAUUCUCAUAAAGAGCCUUGAAAGCUUUUUGAGCGACAGCCAGAGCUGCUUCAUCUCUGCUGAUACAUCUGAGGAUGAUUUCAGGAACUUCAGAAACUACAACCUGAAAAUUUUUAAUGAAAUCGUCAGUGAUUGGAUCGAUGUCAAAACAGAUAUGAAACAUUUAAGAAAUUAACCACCAAACCAUUUCCCGAAAUUACGAAACAUUUUAAAAAUUAACUCACAAUUCCAUUAAUUCUAGGUGAACAUAAAACAGAAAACGAAACUUCACUAUAACCACUUAUGCACUCAAGUACCUGAAUUUCACCAUCUCCGGCAUUAUUAGCCACUAAGUCCUCCAUCUGAAACAGUUUGAUGGAGUCAAUCAUAUGUAAUAGAGAGAAUCCAAAACUAAUGUAAAAAAAGCAUAGAUAGCCACUUUACUAACCUUCUGCAUAACAAUAUGAUACUUAUCCAGUGCAUCUCUCGUGGACAGAGAAGGCUGGGCGAUAUUACUUCCACCAAGACGCUCCAUGGUAGCAGCUGAAGUCAAUGUCUGCAAUGAUGUUCCAGUUUCCUUGUGUAUAAAAUAAGAAGCACAACUCAGUGAUUUGAUAUAAUAACUAAGCGAAUCGAAAUUUAAAAACAAACAGUAGUCUCACUUUCAUAGCAGUGUCGGAGGAUUCAACCAGGCUCAACUCAGAAGUCGAAAUGGAAUUAGAGAACUGAAGACCGCCUGUUUCACCAGCUGGAUCAACUUGUGAGCUUUGAACAGAGGCAAGAUGAAAUGUCAACAUAUUAGCUGUGGAACACAAAAGAAGAAAUGUAAACAGUUUUAUCAAUAUGGGCCAGCAAAGCACCUUAAAAGUGCAAAUGGAGAUUCAAAACCCUCCACAGAAAGAUCUGAUGCCCGGGAGACCAUAUCCAUCCGAGCGUUUUCAGCACCAGACAAAGAGUCCGAAGCACUUUUUCCUGAUACUGGACCAUAAUUACUACCAAGCCCAACCUCACCAGACGAGCUUGAAGCAGCAGAUAAACCGUGUGAAGUGUGGAUUGACUGCUUUUGCCAAGGAAGUUGAACAAAGUCCUGCAAAAUGCACGCGCAUCGCUUAGUUAUACGAACAAAAAAAAUACCAACGGUUAUUACCAGUUAAAAAACUGCACCUCAUAAACUCGCUGUUGAGACAGGGACAGAUGUCCCGGUUUGGGGCGGAGGGACUCUGGUAUAAAACUGACAGAAUUUUGCGAUAAGGAGGAUCCAGCACCAUCUCUGGGCUUUCUCCGUAACAACAACUGCUGGGCAAUGUCCGCGUCGAUAGUUUGUACUGCCUGCAGGGACAAGGAUAUAUUUAUAUCACUGAACAUUAUAGGUGAGGCUCAAUCAUACAAAAGGAAAACAAAGAUCCCUAGUCAAGCGAAGUGCUUGCAAUCCACUCUAAAUAUAUUCUGGUUAUUUCAAAUUUACUAACUUAAAAGCUGGAACAUAAAUGAUAUAAAAUUUAACACAAACCUUCUCUGUAGCCGCCUGCUCAAUGGCAGCACAACCCAGAUCAAGGUUGUCAUUGGUCACAAGUUGCACAAUUUGUUCAAGAGCUUCAUUUUUAAUAUUCAGAUCCUGGAGCAAACUCCGCAGAUGACCUGAAAUUGAAGUGCGCAGGGGUUCCUGCAUAUACCAGAGAAUGCAUAAAAAGCAAGAAAGGAAAAAUAGAGCUGAUUUAAUUAGUGUAACAAGGAUACAAUAGCAAGAAUGUAAACAAAAAUAUUAAGAAGCCAAGCCUUUGAGCAGGAAAAACCUUGCACGUCACAUGAGCCAAACUCCCAGCUAAACUCGCUACCAUCAAGUGAGCUGCACUAUAUAUACGUGUCUCAUCUGGUUCCAAGGCAUAAUCCUGGAGUCAAAGACGAAACAUGUAUGUACGAUUGACAUACAAGAUCAAACUUUGUAGAUUCUCUACUUGAAAAAAAAAAAAAGAGAUGCAAUAAAAUAUACAUGGACUACUUCAAAACGGAACUAGACGCUAGAAACUGACGCUUGUGAUAAAUGGGAAUAAUUUUAGUUGUCAAAAUAAAGCGAUGGAAAACGAAUGUGAGAUACGGAAAUCAUUUGGGAUAUGAAAUAAAAAAAAGGUAGACAAGUUAAGAUUGGCCAACCUUCAGUACAAGCUCUUUUGUUGUUUGGCAAGCAAUGCAAACACUUCUCUGAACAAUACCAGCCACAAUCUCUUUGAUAGCUCUAUCCAUGGCAAGUGGUACCACUCUGACAAUGGAUAAAACUUUAGAAUGUCGAAGAAAACACCUUAAAUGCGCUAGAAACAUAAUUAUUUCACCAGUGGGAGACCAUUAAUUACAAACCUCGGAAAUGGAAAGUGCGUACCAAAUCCGCUUAAUUUCUGAUUGAUAACCACAUGAUUUCCAAUGUUGGGAAGCGCUGGUGGCUGGCCAUCAUCAUAACAGUGAAACGGUAUGAACCAGAUAUAUAUAUAAUAACUUUGAUCGACAUUCAUAUAAUGAUAAUCGUACCUGGCUAGUAGAAAACAACGGGGAUGGACUUGACGGGAACAGUCCUUGAGGUGACGGGAGCUGAUCAGGCAAGCCUAAAGUUGCCACUUUUUCGUCUUCCAUCAAAGUAUUAGUAUACACACGUUGUGGGGCUACAUACUGAAGAAAAAGCAUGGGGCUAAAAUACUGUUGAUAGCUAAAAGCUGACACUAUAUGUCAAUAACAAAAACUACACAAAAUAUAACCUGUGAUAAUAACUUUGAGGGAGUGUCUGUAUUUGCUACAUCAAUAGGUAGGUCUAUUUGCUUAAGAGGAGAAAUUGUUUUAGGCUCCUGGAUUAUCGGUGGUUGAGAUAUAUGUGUUACUCCAAGAUCUUUGUUACUAAAAUCAGGAUUUCCAUCUAUUUCUCUCUUCAAUCAGUCCCAGGAUCCAGGGAACAUAAGUCCAGCAGCCAGUUGAUGAACAAUCUAAAAUAUGGUCUUGGAUUGAGUGACGUCUUUUUAUCUUCGGCGUCCUUCUGAAUAGACCUCACAGUUACAGCCAUGAUCUACAGCCAGUAAUCAUUAUCAGACCCACUCACCUUUUUCCACCAAUAAAAUAAAAGUUUUCAAGUAUUUUCAAUAAACUAAAACUAACCUCCGAAAGAAGAAAUAACUUGAUGCUAGACUCCUGUUCGGGGAAAUACUGAAAAGAUUGUCAUAAGAAACAAAAAUAGGCUUAGCAGGCAAUGUAUUUUGGGCUUAAUUAUCCGCUCCUAGCCUUAAAAAUUCAUGAGAAUUUACCUUCAAUACUGAAAAAACAAGCUUUGCAUAAAUAUCGAUAAUAAGGAAUGAUGGACUCUGAGCUUGCUGAGGAGAUUGCCCAGCUCCAGAACUGAUUUCUUCAGAAGAUAUACAAUGAGCAACAGAGAGUUCCUAAACAUAACACCCAAGUUCAAUCAUAAGGCCUCUAAAGAUUUUGGAAGUGUGGAUCCUAUGAAAACUUAAAAAGUCAAUCACCAGAAGAAUUCUGAAAAAACUCUCUGUUGUAUCAUCUCCCUUAAGUAGUCCAGUCUGAUGCAAAUGCGAGACAUAUUGUGAACAAGCGGUUUCAUUUGCACCGGAAACUUCGCAAAUUUGAUACCAAUUUUUAAAAAGCGUGGACACCUGCGGAAGCAUACGGACCAUAAAAAAAGAUAAACAACGAACGGGAGAUGUAUAUACCAACAUAGAAUUGAAGAGGUAACAGAGUAUUUGUUUAAUAGAAACAUGAAUAUUUAAUAAUAACAGCUACACAAACGUUUCUAUUGAAAUCGUUAUCUGUAGCUUGAAACCCAAUUAAACAACUAAAAAGACUAAAACUCGUCAUCCAUAUUGGAGUAAUGAAACCUAGUCACAAGCAGAAAAAUUACCCGAUUCCGGAAACCCGCAGGAUCUGCGUCCACGUAUUCCCAGCUGGUAUUCUCUUCUGUGUUAGCAGUUGUAUUGCACACAACCUGAGAACAAAGCUAACAUGUCAAAAGAAUUAACAGCCUGAUCACAAGCAACAUUCGGUAAUGAAAAUAUCUGAAACCUUUUCAUCCUUCGAUUGUCUAUCAUUGUUCUCGUUUCCGGAUGCACUAUCAGAGAGACCACUUGUAUUAGUAACUGGAUUUCGUAUGAUGUCAAUUAGUUGUUGCAAUGACUCAGGAGAUCCGGAUUUUGAGGAAAGCUACAACCGAACAAGGAAAAAGUUAACGUUACCAAAUGAAAAUGUCAAAUAUAUGAUAACAGCAUAAAACAAUAGCUGAACCUAACCACGAUAUCUGUCAGUUGGCGUUCUAUAAAGAAGUAUUACAAGGCAGAUAAAUAAAAACAAUAUCUAAUCCUAAUCCCUAGUUGUAUGUUUUCCGCACCUAAUAAUUGUCAUAUAUCAGAAGAGGUAUUAGUAAUACAUUAGAACAAGCUAAGGCAAGAUUGCAAUAACAAAGGCCGAAGAAAGUUAUAUUUGCUACCUUUGCCAGUGCAUCAACAAGACUGUGUAGCUCUGAAAUGACACUCGACUCCUCAGUGACCAAGGAUUGGAGCAGAGAAAUAGAGAAGUCAGUGGCUCUCUCUGCAAAGCAAACAAGCAGUUAGCCACGUUCAUUCACAAUAAAAGAAAACUAUACAAAUAUGUGAUGUUCGGCAUACUGUUUCUCCCUCCAUCAAGAUGCUUCGCCAUGUGGACAUUGUACUCCGCUAGGUUAAGCAACUCGCGUUGGAUAAGACCGAUAGUUAUAUCCUUGUUGAGCUUCCGCUCCUCCUCUGAAUAAAUCACCUAUGCAUGAAGUUCCAAGGAAGUUACAUAAGAAUAAUAGAAAUCCCAGAAAAAAAAAACAAAUCUCGUAUCCAUAACUAAUUGAGGAUGGUUCUUGUCAUAUUUUAUCAGGAACUCCAGCUACGGGAAAUAGGCUCAAUCUAGUCCUUUUUGUCACGAGUCAAUCUAAUACUUAUUGAUGUGUCAUGUCAAGAAAUAGAGGCUUAUUUAAGAGAAAUAUCAGAAGCAACUGAACUAAAGCACGUACGAGAGUGUGAACUACAGAAACAAUAUGAAUACUUAAAUUUUGAAAAGGUCGUUGACAUACCCAACUAGUUAGCUCUUUAACAACACGCUUGCAAACAUCACGAAUAGCCACAAGAAUUGCUAGGUUAGCACUGACGUGAAGACUACUUGAUGCAUUCUCAUAAAGAGCCUUGAAAGCUUUUUGAGCGACAGCCAGAGCUGCUUCAUCUCUGCUGAUACAUCU